rnacentral:rRNA from 1 species
UACGUAGGGGGCAAGCGUUGUCCGGAUUCAUUGGACGUAAAGAGCGUGUAGGCGGCCAGGUAGGUCGGUUGUGAAAACUGGAGGCUCAACCUUCAGAGGUCGACCGAAACCAUCUGGCUAGAGUCCGGGAGAGGAGAGUGGAAUUCCUGGUGUAGCGGUGAAAUGCGCAGAUAUCGGGAAGAACACCCGUGGCGAAAGCGGCUCUCUGGAACGGUACUGACGCUGAGACGCGAAAGCGUGGGGAGCGAACAGG